GACGAACGCUGGCGGCGUGAUUAGCACAUGCAAGUCGAACGGUAAGGCCCUUCGGGGUACACGAGUGGCGAACGGGUGAGUAACACGUGGGUGAUCUGUCCUGCACUUCGGGAUAAGCCUGGGAAACUGGGUCUAAUACCGGAUAGGACUCCUGGCUUCCUGGUUGGGGGUGUAAAGCUUGUGCGGUGUGGGACGGGACCGCGGCAUAUCAGCUUGUUGGUGGGGUAAUGGCCUACUCAGGCGACGACGGGUAGCCGGCCUGAGAGGGUGACCGGUCACACUAGGACGGGGCUCCGGGCCAGACUCCUACGGGAGGCAGCAGUGGGGAAGAUUGCACAAUGGGCGCAAGCCUGAUGCAGCGACGCCGCGUGAGGGAUGACGGCCUUCGGGUAGUAAACCUCUUUCAGCUAUGGCGAAGCGCAAGUGACGGUAGUAGCAGAAGAAGGACCGGCCAACUACGUGCCAGCCGCCGCCGUAACAC
rnacentral:rRNA from 1 species